AGAGUUGAUCUGGCUCAGAACGAACGCUGGCGGCGUGCCUAACACAUGCAAGUCGAGCGAGGAGAUUCCUCGGGAUGAUCCUAGCGGCGGACGGGUGAGUAACACGUGGGCAACCUGCCUCAUAGAGAGGAAUAGCCUUCCGAAAGGGAGAUUAAUACCUCAUAACAUUGCAGUUUCGCAUGGAACAGCAAUUAAAGGAGUAAUCCGCUAUGAGAUGGGCCCGCGGCGCAUUAGCUAGUUGGUGAGGUAACGGCUCACCAAGGCGACGAUGCGUAGCCGACCUGAGAGGGUGAUCGGCCACAUUGGGACUGAGACACGGCCCAGACUCCUACGGGAGGCAGCAGUGGGGAAUAUUGCACAAUGGGGGAAACCCUGAUGCAGCAAACCGCCGCGUGAGUGAUGACGGCCUUCGGGUUGUAAAGCUCUGUCUUCAGGGAUGAUAAUGACGGUACCUGAGGAGGAAGCCACGGCUAACUACGUGCCAGCAGCUGC
rnacentral:rRNA from 1 species